rnacentral:rRNA from 1 species
CCAAAGCCCCUCGCUUACACCGAGGCAUUGUCUGUUUGAACCGGAUCAUUUUGAGCCCAAAAUCUAGCUCCCCCACACCCAAUACCACCCUCAACCAAUUUCCUUACAAACAAAACAUUUUUAUAAUAUAGUACAGGAGAUCGAAAAAUUUCUAGACGCUUCAGAUAAAGUACCGUAAGGGAAUGAUGAAAUAAAAAUGAAACAACUUUAAAGCCUAAAAUAGUAGAGAUAUUCCCUCGUACCUUUUGCAUCAUGGUCUAGCUAGUCUAACCAAGCAAAAAGUAACUUUAAGUUUGACACCCCGAAACUAAGCGAGCUACUUCAAAACAGCCUACAGGGCCAACCCGUCUCUGUUGCAAAAGAGUGGGAAGAUUUUUAAGUAGAGGUGAUAUGCCUAUCGAGCUUAGAGAUAGCUGGUUGCUCAAGAAAAGAGUUUUAGCUCUACCUUAAGUUUAUUUAUUUACCUAAAAACCCAAUUAAACUUAAGAGCUAUUCAAACAAGGCACAGCUUGUUUGAUACAGGAUACAACCUCCUACACUGGGUAAACAAGGGACCACAAAACAAAGUAGGCCUAGAAGCAGCCACCUUAAAAAUAGCGUUAUAGCUUGAUUAUAAAUACCCCUUAAAUUUCAUAAACCUUAAACAACCCUUCACCUCUACUGAGCCAUUUUAUAUUUUUAUAAAAACUAUAAUGCUAGAACUAGUAACAAGAAACUGCCCUUCUCCAAAAUGCAAGCAUAAACCAAAAUGUACAACACGUUGGUAACUAACGUAAAUGCAUACAAUAUAGCAACUCUUCUAGAAAACCCUAUAUACACUAACGUUAAUCUUACACCAGAGCAUUACCAGAAAGAUUAAAAGAGAAAGAAGGAACUCGGCAAACCUUAGCCCCGCCUGUUUACCAAAAACAUCGCCUCUUGUUAUACAUAAGAGGUCCAGCCUGCCCGGUGACAAAGUUUAACGGCCGCGGUACCCUGACCGUGCGAAGGUAGCAUAAUCACUCGUUCUUUAAAUAGGGACUUGUAUCAACGGCAUCACGAGGGCUGUACUGUCUCCUUUCUCUAAUCAGUGAAACUGAUCUCCCCGUGAAGAAGCGGGAAUUUAGCUAUAAGACGAGAAGACCCCAUGGAGCUUUAAGCCCGGUAUAUAGCCCGCCAUAAUCCCACUAAGCUAUAAGGCCCUAAAUACCGGCUUUAGGUUGGGGGGACCGCGGAGUAAAAUCUAACCUCCACGACUAAUGGGCUUAGCCUUUAUCCACGAACAACACUUCUAAGAAUCAACAAACUGACGUUUAAUGACCCGACAAUUCGAUCAACGAACCAAGUUACCCUGGGGAUAACAGCGCAAUCCACUUCAAGAGUCCUUAUCGACAAGUGGGUUUACGACCUCGAUGUUGGAUCAGGAUAUCCCAGUGGUGCAGUCGCUAC